AUCACUUUUUGGCCUUUUGGCUAAAAUCAAGUGUAGUAUCUGUUCUUAUCAGUUUAAUAUCUGAUAUGUUCUCUGAGGACAAUAUAUUAAAUGGAUUUUUGGAGCAGGGAAAUGGAAUAGGAGCUUGCUCCAUCCACUCCACACAUUGACCUGGUAUCGCAGUACCUUUAGGAAGAGUGCACUCUCC
rnacentral:snRNA from 17 species